GACGAACGCUGGCCGCGUGCUUAACACAUGCCAGUCGAACGAAGAGCGAUGGAAGCUUGCUUCUAUCAAUCUUAGUGGCGAACGGGUGAGUAACGCGUAAUCAACCUGCCCUUCAGAGGGGGACAACAGUUGGAAACGACUGCUAAUACCGCAUACGAUCUAAUCUCGGCAUCGAGGAUAGAUGAAAGGUGGCCUCUACAUGUAAGCUAUCACUGAAGGAGGGGAUUGCGUCUGAUUAGCUAGUUGGAGGGGUAACGGCCCACCAAGGCGAUGAUCAGUAGCCGGUCUGAGAGGAUGAACGGCCACAUUGGGACUGAGACACGGCCCAGACUCCUACGGGAGGCAGCAGUGGGGAAUCUUCCGCAAUGGACGAAAGUCUGACGGAGCAACGCCGCGGGAGUGAUGACGGCCUUCGGGUUGUAAAGCUCUGUUAAUCGGGACGAAAGGCCUUCUUGCGAAUAGUGAGAAGGAUUGACGGUACCGGAAUAGAAAGCCACGGCUAACUACGUG
rnacentral:rRNA from 1 species